rnacentral:tRNA from 1 species
GCCAUAAUGCUGUAGCGGUUAAGGGACUUGGGCUGGUAAUGCAAAGGUUGUGGGUUUGAUUCCCAGCUGGGGGCG